rnacentral:rRNA from 1 species
UACGGAGGGUGCAAGCGUUGUUCGGAAUUACUGGGCGUAAAGGGCUUGUAGGCGGCCAACUAAGUCCGACGUGAAAUCCCCAGGCUUAACCUGGGAACUGCGUCGGAUACUGGUUGGCUUGAAUCCGGGAGAGGGAUGCGGAAUUCCAGGUGUAGCGGUGAAAUGCGUAGAUAUCUGGAGGAACACCGGUGGCGAAGGCGGCAUCCUGGACCGGCAUUGACGCUGAACAGCGAAAGCCAGGGGAGCAAACGGG